rnacentral:lncRNA from 1 species
GCCAAGAUUGUGCCUGGGCAACAAGAGUGAAACUCCAUCUCAAAAAAAGAGAAAAGAACAACUUCUCCCUACACAUUACACUCUGCUAAGAGUAGAGCAGGUUGAGCUGCAUCACAGAAGAUUUUUGGGACCUAUAAGAAUUACAGAAUUCCUUGAGAUACAGCAAGUUUCUUUACAGACACUGCCCCAUUUCCCCCAGAGGGCAAGGUACAAUGAUUGCUGAAAUAAUUGGAUGGGAAGUGUUCAGGUUCAGAUUGCCACACUGUUCCUGAAACAUGACCCAUUUCUGACUUUCAGGAACUACUACUAAAUUGACUCAUUCACCCUGCCCGACUCCUUUCUUUAUGGAUGUUCCUUGGUCCCCAUAGAAACUAAAGUUGCAAAUGGUUACAAAAAAGGAUGACAUCAUGCAGUUCUACAAGACACGGCCAAAUAUCAGUACAAAGCUAACUGGGACCCUUGGUGACCCAAGGUAUGAUAGUUCUGAACGAAGAUUGAAGCUGUUCUGUAGUUCUGAGGGUUAUCAUACCACUGAGAGUAAAAGCAGGAGUCCACUGGGCAUGGUGUCAUGUGCCUAUAAUCC